rnacentral:rRNA from 1 species
CCUACGGGUGGCAGCAGUGGGGAAUAUUGGGCAAUGGGCGCAAGCCUGACCCAGCAACGCCGCGUGAAGGAAGAAGGCUUUCGGGUUGUAAACUUCUGUUCUGAGGGACGAAGAAAGUGACGGUACCUCAGGAAUAAGCCACGGCUAACUACGUGCCAGCAGCCGCGGUAAUACGUAGGUGGCAAGCGUUAUCCGGAGUUAUUGGGCGUAAAGGGCGUGUAGGGGGGAAAGUAAGUCAGAGGUGAAAACUCAGGGCUCAACCCUGGUGCUGCAUCUGAAACUGUUUUUCUUGAGUGCUGGAGGGGCAAUCGGAAGUCCGUGUGUAGCGGUGAAAUGCGUAGAUAUACGGAGGAACACCAGUGGCGAAGGCGGAUUGCUGGACAGUAACUGACGCUGAGGCGCGAAAGCGUGGGGAGCAAACAGGAUUAGAUACCCUUGUAGUC